GUCGAUGUAGCUCAGUUGGGAGAGCGUGGCGAUGGUCUCGCCAAGGUCGCAGGUUCGAACCCUGCCAUCGACUCCA
rnacentral:tRNA from 1 species